GCCGGAGUGGUGGAACUGGUAGACGCAGGGGACUCAAAAUCCCCCGGAGCAAGGCUUCCGUGCGAGUUCGAGUCUCGCCUCCGGCACCA
rnacentral:tRNA from 1 species